rnacentral:rRNA from 1 species
AUGUCCGCGACGCCCGACGCGGCGGCGGAUGGCGCCGCCUCGACCCCGACCUCGCGGGCGCCCGGCAUGGCGUCGUCGGCGUCGCUCCGGCACCGCGCCAUGAGCGCCUCCUCCAAGAUGCUCCGCAGCUCGCUGAGCCGGCGGUCGGGGCGGCAGCGCAGCAGCAAGGUGAUGUCGGUGGCCAUCGAGGACGUGCGCGACGCCAAGGAGGCGGCCUCCGUGGACGCGUUCCGGCAGACGCUGGUCCUGGAGGAGCUCCUCCCGGCGCGCCACGACGACUACCACAUGAUGCUCCGCUUCCUCAAGGCCCGCAAGUUCGAGAUCGACAAGAGCAAGCAGAUGUGGUCCGACAUGCUCAACUGGCGCAAGGAGUUCGGCACCGACACCAUCAUGGAAGAUUUCCAAUUCGAGGAGGUGGAGCAGGUGCUGGAGCACUACCCGCAGGGGCACCACGGCGUGGACAAGGACGGCCGGCCGAUCUACAUCGAGAAGCUGGGCGCCAUUGACACCACCAAGCUGCUGCAGGUCACCAGCAUGGACCGCUACGUGAGGUACCACGUGAGGGAGUUCGAGAGGGCCUUCGCCCUCAAGUUUCCGGCCUGCUCCAUCUCCGCCAAGCGCCACGUCGACCAGAGCACCACCAUCCUCGACGUCUCCGGCGUGGGCUACAAGAACUUCAACAAGGCUGCGAGGGAUCUCAUCGGCCAGCUCCAGAAAAUCGACGGGGAUAACUUCCCUGAGACCCUGUGCCGGAUGUUCAUCAUCAACGCCGGUCAGGGAUUCAGGCUCCUGUGGAACACCGUCAAGUCCUUCCUUGACCCCAAGACCACAGCCAAGAUCCAUGUUCUCGGCAACAAGUACCAGAGCAAGUUGCUGGAAGUCAUUGAUCCAAGCGAAUUGCCCGAAUUCUUUGGGGGCACUUGUGUAUGCGAGGGCGGAGGUUGCAUGCGCUCCGACAAAGGACCGUGGAAGGACCCUGAAAUCAUAAAGAUGGUGCAAUGUGGCUUGGGGAGGUGCGGGAUGAACAACUCGGACCCUGCCAGCGCCGAGGAGAAGACGAUCACCGAGGACGAUGCUGCGCCGGCUGUAAAGAAGCAAGAGUCGAUGCGCCGUGACGGCGUCGACUCUCCUAAGGUGGCGCACGACAAGGUCGAACACCCGCCGCAUAUGGCUCCCCUCCAUGAGGUGCCAAAUGAAGAGGCCAAGGCUGCUCCUUCCGGUAACGAGGGGGGCUCCGCGCCCUACGACGAGCUCUUCCCCAUGGCGGACAAGGGCAUGGAUUUCAACUGGAACGGCGAGAUGAGCGCGGAGAAGCUCGCCAUCGCGAGAGAUAUGUACGCGUCGCUGCCGGACGCGUACAAGCACGGCGACGCCGGGGACCGGCAGGUGGUGACGGGGUUCAUGGCGUUCGUGAUGGGGGUGGUGGCCAUGUUCCGGGUGGGCAAGAUCGCGCCGAAGCGCGCCAUGGACGCGGCCAUGGGCAUCGCCACCAUGGAGGCCAUGGCCAAGAACCGCAAGCUCCUGCAGGCCCAGGGGCAGGGAGGGGGAGGCGGGGGCCCGGUCAUGGUGGCGGGGGUGUCGACGGCGCAGUACGAGGCGCUGGCCAAGCGGGUGGGCGACCUGGAGGAGAAGGUGGCCGCCCUCGGGUCGCGGCCCACCGAGAUGCCCGCCGACAAGGCGGAGCAGCUCGCCGCCGCCGCCACCCGGCUCGACGCCCUCGAGGCCGAGCUCGAGGCCACCAAGAAGCUUCUGGAGACGUCGAAAGGGCAGCAGGAGGAGGUGCUGGCGUACAUCGAGAAGAAGAAGAAAAAGAAGGGGAUGCAGAACCCGUUCCGUUGGUGA